GAGAGCUUUAUUUCUGCAAAAAUAUUAUAUGUAUUCAACCAAGUUCUACAUUUAUUAAUUUUCUACUUCAAUUCCAAACAGUUAUGAAUUAAGGUUUGCAAAAACUCUGUGGCCUAAGGAAUUAUUUUAUAGAUUGGGACAGUGGAGUAACUUGCAUGAGCUCACACAGCAAGUCUGUGAAACAACCUGUAAAAGAGUCCAGGUAUCUUGACACCUCCCUCCCCCAAGCCUGUAUUUCAGCAAUAACAUCCUCUUUCUUCCUUCUCACUUUAUUUAGAAUGCUAUGGAAAAACGAAUGCUCAAAAAAUCCCACCUUUCCCCUGAGCUGUACAAGACAGCCAGGUUUUCAAAUCAACAUCGGUUUAUAAGUUACUUUAUUUUAAUGGACUCUUCCUUAAAAUUUCAAGAUAACUGUUGAUUCAGCCCGUGGAAGGUUGUGUACAAAGACACCUGAUCCGAAAACCCAUGGAUCAAGAACAGACCCCAUGGAAGCCACUAUCCAGCCUGUAUCUGAUAAGCACCACAUUAUGUCUUCAGGAGUCAAAUCCAGCCAGUAUCUUAUAUGACAGAGAAAACAGUGGUUAUGGAAAAGCUUUUUUUAAAUAGACAAUGAAGUUAGAAAUCAA